GCGCCAUUAGCUCAGUUGGUAGAGCAGCUGACUCUUAAUCAGCGGGUCCGGGGUUCGAAUCCCUGAUGGCGCA
rnacentral:tRNA from 1 species